rnacentral:misc_RNA from 1 species
CGCCACCUUUUGCUCGCCUUAUUGGUCCUGUGGUUCUCCUAUGAAUUGGUGAAGCUGUUGCUGGACUGGGUACUCCCGGAGACUUGAGAAUUGUACUGACACUGCCUUCAGAUAUAGNGAAGCUGCUGCUAAUUGCUUAUUUUCAAGGCAGCACUCCUCUAACUUCACCUCACCCAUCUCCUUAUUCUCUGCUUAUAGAGAAUUGGCGGGAAUCGAAGUGAAGCUCAUCGAGAGAAAGAAAGAAAGAAAGAAACAGAAACUGAUCCUUUCAAGCCAAAGGGAAAGGAAAAGGAAAUCACUCUGCC